rnacentral:rRNA from 1 species
AACGAACGCUGGCGGCAGGCCUAACACAUGCAAGUCGAGCGGCAGCGGGAAGUAGCUUGCUACUUUGCCGGCGAGCGGCGGACGGGUGAGUAAUGUCUGGGAAACUGCCUGAUGGAGGGGGAUAACUACUGGAAACGGUAGCUAAUACCGCAUAACGUCGCAAGACCAAAGGGGGGGACCUUCGGGCCUCUUGCCAUCAGAUGUGCCCAGAUGGGAUUAGCUAGUAGGUGGGGUAAUGGCUCACCUAGGCGACGAUCCCUAGCUGGUCUGAGAGGAUGACCAGCCACACUGGAACUGAGACACGGUCCAGACUCCUACGGGAGGCAGCAGUGGGGAAUAUUGCACAAUGGGCGCAAGCCUGAUGCAGCCAUGCCGCGUGUAUGAAGAAGGCCUUCGGGUUGUAAAGUGCUUUCAGCGGGGAGGAAGGUGCUGAGGUUAAUAACCUCAGCAAUUGACGUUACCCGCAGAAGAAGCACCGGCUAACUCCGUGCCAGCAGCCGCAGUAA